UACGAAGGGGGCUAGCGUUGCUCGGAAUCACUGGGCGUAAAGGGUGCGUAGGCGGGUUAUUAAGUCAGAGGUGAAAUCCUGGAGCUCAACUCCAGAACUGCCUUUGAUACUGAUAGUCUUGAGUAUGGGAGGGGUGAGUGGAACUGCGAGUGUAGAGGUGAAAUUCGUAGAUAUUCGCAAGAACACCAGUGGCGAAGGCGGCUCACUGGCCCAUUACUGACGCUGAGGCACGAAAGCGUGGGGAGCAAACAGG
rnacentral:rRNA from 1 species